rnacentral:rRNA from 1 species
UAUGUGAUCGUCUCUCGCAUAUCAAUAAGCGGAGGAAAAGAAACUAACAAGGAUUCCCCUAGUAACGGCGAGUGAAGCGGGAAGAGCUCAAAUUUGAAAUCUUAAAGGGUUUCCCUUUACGAAUUGUAGUUUAAAGAAGUGUUUUCUGUUGAGGUUUUGGUAAAAGUUCUUUGGAAUAGGACAUCAUAGAGGGUGAGAAUCCCGUAUUUGACCUUUACUUUCAACUUUGUGAUACACUUUCAAAGAGUCGGAUUGUUUGGGAAUGCAGUCCAAAAUGGGUGGUAAAUUUCAUCUAAAGCUAAAUAUUGGCGAGAGACCGAUAGCGAACAAGUACCGUGAGGGAAAGAUGAAAAGAACUUUGAAAAGAGAGUUAAACAGUACGUGAAACUGUCAAAAGGGAAGCGUUUGACACCAGUGUUGUUUUUCUGAAAAUCAAUUAAAGAACUGUUUAUGCUAAGUUGUUUAGACUUUAUCAGCUAACUGUUUAGUUUUGAGCUUUUCUUUAAUGCACUUUUCAGUUAACAAGUCAACAUCAAUUUCUUUUGCUGUAAAAAAGCUUGAGGAAGGUGGCUUGAGAUUCGUCUUAAGUGUUUAUAGCCUCUUGCCUAUGCAGUCGGAGAGAUUGAGGUCUGCAGCGUAGAUCCUUCGGGGCUAAAUGCAUUUGUGCUAAGUUAUAGCAUUUUAUAGACAACUUGUUGACUAUGAUUUGUCUUGUAGCUUACUCGCUUAUGUUAUUUUACCUACGCUUAGGAUGUUGAUCUACAGAGCGAGAGU